ACGGGUGAGUAAUACAUCGGAACAUGUCCUGUAGUGGGGGAUAGCCCGGCGAAAGCCGGAUUAAUACCGCAUACGAUCUACGGAUGAAAGCGGGGGACCUUCGGGCCUCGCGCUAUAGGGUUGGCCGAUGGCUGAUUAGCUAGUUGGUGGGGUAAAGGCCUACCAAGGCGACGAUCAGUAGCUGGUCUGAGAGGACGACCAGCCACACUGGGACUGAGACACGGCCCAGACUCCUACGGGAGGCAGCAGUGGGGAAUUUUGGACAAUGGGCGAAAGCCUGAUCCAGCAAUGCCGCGUGUGUGAAGAAGGCCUUCGGGUUGUAAAGCACUUUUGUCCGGAAAGAAAUCCUUGGUUCUAAUAUAGCCGGGGGAUGACGGUACCGGAAGAAUAAGCACCGGCUAACUACGUGCCAGCAGCCGCGGUAAUACGUAGGGUGCGAGCGUUAAUCGGAAUUACUGGGCGUAAAGCGUGCGCAGGCGGUUUGCUAAGACCGAUGUGAAAUCCCCGGGCUCAACCUGGGAACUGCAUUGGUGACUGGCAGGCUAGAGUAUGGCAGAGGGGGGUAGAAUUCCACGUGUAGC
rnacentral:rRNA from 1 species